rnacentral:rRNA from 1 species
UACAGAGGUCUCAAGCGUUGUUCGGAAUCACUGGGCGUAAAGGGUGUGUAGGCUGCGUGUUAAGUCAGAUGUGAAAUCCCGGGGCUCAACCUCGGAACUGCAUCCGAUACUGGCAUGCUAGAGAAUUGGAGAGGAGUCUAGAAUUCACGGUGUAGCAGUGAAAUGCGUAGAUAUCGUGAGGAAUACUAAGUGCGAAGGCAGGACUCUGGACAUUUUCUGACGCUGAGACACGAAGGCUAGGGGAGCAAACGGG